GGUGAAUCGAACCACUUCCUGGCUGGUCUUUUCCAUUUCUUUCUCACUGAGCUGUGGAAGGCACUCGGGACAGACGGAGGCUGUGAGGACCCUUCCUAGUGUUACUCCUUCUUGAAAGCUGAGGACUCACCGGAAGGAUCUCUCUCGAGACUGUCUGCUCGAAUUAGUUCUAUCAUUAGUUUGCAUUUUCUACAAAUGAAGAGAACGGAGGGCCAGCACAACAGAGGCAGAAGCAUGAAGCCUUUCGGGGAGAAAUAGAAGAAGGUGUAUAAAGGCCAAGGAAGAGCUGACAUGAUCCCAGCGGUGGCGCGCAACAACCACGUGAUGGGAAAACAGAAGG